rnacentral:snoRNA from 1 species
UCGGCUUUGUGUGAUGAUAUCACAAAUUUACGCAUAGUUCAUCUGAUUCUAUGUGAUGACAACUGCCUGUUUUAGUCUUUCGCUCCCAUCUGACUCAAGCCAC